rnacentral:rRNA from 1 species
UAAUACCGAGGGUGCAUGACGGUACCNNAAGAAUAAGCACCGGCUAACUACGUGCCAGCAGCCGCGGUAAUACGUAGGGUGCGAGCGUUAAUCGGAAUUACUGGGCGUAAAGGGUGCGCAGGCGGCCAUGCAAGUCAGAUGUGAAAGCCCCGGGCUUAACCUGGGAAUUGCGUUUGAAACUGCAAGGCUAGAGUGCAACAGAGGGGAGUGGAAUUCCAUGUGUAGCAGUGAAAUGCGUAGAGAUGUGGAAGAACACCGAUGGCGAAGGCAGCUCCCUGGGUUGACACUGACGCUCAUGCACGAAAGCGUGGGGAGCAAACAGGAUUAGAUACCCUGGUAGUCCACGCCCUAAACUAUGUCAACUAGUUGUCGGAUCUAAUUAAGGAUUUGGUAACGUAGCUAACGCGUGAAGUUGCCGCCUGGGGAGUACNGUCGC